UUCGCAAUGCCCGAAAGGGUGACGAAGCGACGCCGCGUGUGGGAAGAAGGCCUUCGGGUUCGUAAACCACUGUUGGGAGUUAGGAAGUGUGGAGGUGUUAAUAGCGCUUUCACUUGACUAAAGCUCCAGAGGAAGCCACGGCUAACUCUGUGCCAGCAGCCGCGGUAAUACAGAGGCGGCAAGCGUUGUUCGGAAUUAUUGGGCGUAAAGAGCACGUAGGCGGCUCUGCAAGUCAGCUGUGAAAGCCUUCUGCCUAACGGAAGAACGGCAGUUGAAACUACAGGGCUUGAGUGCGGGAGGGGAGAGUGGAACUUCUGGUGGAGCGGUGAAAUGCGUAGAUAUCAGAAGGAACGCCGGCGGCGAAAGCGGCUCUCUGGUCCGUAACUGACGCUGAGUGUGCGAAAGCUAGGGGAGCAAACGGGAUUAGAUACCCCGGUAGUCCUAGCCGUAAACGAUGGGCACUAAGUAGAGGGGUU
rnacentral:rRNA from 1 species